CCUAAACACACACUCUCUACAAACACUACAUCACCUAUACAUUCACACACACACAUACACACACACACACACACACACACUCACGCACUAUAGCCUGUAUGCACACACUUGCUACAGCCCCUGGCCACAUAUGCAUUACAUUACACCACAAACACAACACGACUAAAACAGACCUUAUUACACAAUACCACACCACAAUCAGCUCACUCUACACACACGCAAUCCCACAAGCAGG